GUGACGCGAGGGGCUCAUGUGUUGCCUAGUGUCGCACGCGAGGCUCAUUUGUUGCCUGGUGACGUGCGCCGCUCAUGUUUUGCCUGGUGACGCGUGCCAGGCUCAUGGUGACGCGCUCUGGGCUCAUGUGUUGCCUGGUGAUUUUUGCGGGGCUCAUGUGUUGCCUGGUGAUGUGCGCGGGGCUCAUUUGUUGCCUGGUGACACGUGCGGGGCUCAUGUGUUGCCUGGUGACUGGCCCUGGGCAAAUGUCUUGCCUGGUGACGCGAGCGGCUCAUGUGUUGCCUGGUGACGGGUGCAGGGCUCAUGUGUUGCCUGGUGACGGGCGCGGGGCUCAUGUGUUGCCUGGUGACGUGCAUGGGGCUCAUGUGUUUUCUGGUGACGAGCACUGGGUUCAUAUGUUGCCUGGUGACGUGCGGGGGACUCAUGU